CCAAAAAAGCGUGUAUAUUGUAAUUUACAGGACAUCAGGCAGUUGGCAGUACUACUUCCUACAUUUAAUGGGUCCUCAAUUUCCUUCCCUGACAAAGCAAUCUCCAAAAUGUCUGGGGAGGUGUAUCUCCUGUGGCUUCUUUCUCUCAUACAAACGCUGUCAGCAUAUGGAGCCAACUUGUCCUCAGAGUCAUGCAGGGAGCUGGGCUUUUCCAGCAACCUCCUGUGCAGCUCCUGUGACCUGCUGGGGGAGUUCAGCCUGAUCUCCAUCCAGCCUGUCUGCAAACAGUGCUGCCAACAGGAGGUCAAUAUGGAGUCCAGGAAGCUCUACCCUGGGGCCAUCCUGGAAGUGUGUGGAUGAAAAUUGGGGAGGUUCCCUCAAGUCCAAGCUUUUGUCAGGUCUGACAAGCCGAAGAUGUUCAAGGGUCUUCAAAUUAAGUAUGUGAGAGGCGCAGACCCUAUACUAAAGCUGCUGGACGAUAACGGGAACAUUGCUGAAGAACUCAGCAUCCUCAAGUGGAACACGGAUAGUGUGGAAGAAUUCCUGAGCGAGAAGUUGGAAGUAUAUAAUACCGAUUUGUAGUACUCAUCACCAGUUUUUUUGUGUUUUUGGAUUUUGUUUAAAGGUACUGCACUAUUGUACUUUAUUUUUGUAGUACCUGAAAAUCAUGAACUUUGAACUGACAUUAUGUGCCAGGAUGUUAAACGGCUGUUUUAUAGAUUUGUAAAGUACCUGAACUUACCUGCAAAAUACCUGGCAUUAACAUCAAAAUGAUUGGAAUGAAGUUGCCAAAGAAAGACUGAAGAUGUUCACUGCUCGUUACCUUUUUUGUUCUCCCAUCUGUCAGUUUUCUCUGUGGUUUCAUUUUUAAAAAACUUGUGUCAUCUUUGGGUGGGUGGGGUCCAAGUCGUUCACUUCAUGCAGAUGUUUCGGGGAGGAACACAUUAGUGAAGGCCUCACAGUAAACCACAUUUUGGGAUGUGAGACCUGAUGUCCCUGUGUGUCACUCUGGGCAUCUUGCAGUGGAGAGAGACUGGAUUCCCCAGUGUGUGAUUUAGAAUUGGGGAGGAAAAACACUGCAAUUUAAUAAAAUGUCUCCAUGUUAUUA